rnacentral:rRNA from 1 species
GACGAACGCUGGCGGCGUGCUUAACACAUGCAAGUCGAGCGGAAAGGCCCUUUCGGGGGUACUCGAGCGGCGAACGGGUGAGUAACACGUGAGUAAUCUGCCCUUCACUUUGGGAUAACCCCCGGAAACGGGAGCUAAUACCGGAUAUGACCGGCAACCGCAUGGUUUGUUGGUGGAAACUUUUUGGGUGGGGGAUGUGCUCGCGGCCUAUCAGCUUGUUGGUGGGGUAAUGGCCUACUAAGGCUUUGACGGGUAGCCGGCCUGAGAGGGUGGCCGGCCACACUGGGACUGAGACACGGCCCAGACUCCUACGGGAGGCAGCAGUGGGGAAUAUUGGACAAUGGGCGGAAGCCUGAUCCAGCAACGCCGCGUGAGGGAUGACGGCCUUCGGGUUGUAAACCUCUUUCAGCACCGACGAAGCGUGAGUGACGGUAGGUGCAGAAGAAGGACCGGCCAACUACGUGCCAGCCGCCGCGGUAAAAC